rnacentral:rRNA from 1 species
GACGAACGCUGGCGGCGUGCUUAACACAUGCAAGUCGAACGGAAAGGCCCUGCUUUUGUGGGGUGCUCGCGUGGCGAACGGGUGAGUAACACGUGAGUAACCUGCCCUUGACUUUGGGACAACUUCAGGCAACUGGGGCUACUACCGGAUAGGAGCUCCUGCUGCAUGGUGGGGGUUGGAACGCUUCGGCGGUUGGGGAUGGACUCGCGGCUUAUCAGCUUGUUGGUGGGGUAGUGGCUUACCAAGGCUUUGACGGGUAGCCGGCCUGAGAGGGAGACCCGCCACAUUGGGACAGGGGUACGGCCCGGAGUGCUACGUGGGGCAGCGGUGGGAGAUAUUGCACAAUGGGCGGAGGGCUGGUGGAGGGACGCCGCGUUGGAAAGGACGUCCAUCGGGUUGUAAACCGCUUUCGCCUGUAACGAAGCGUGAGGGACGGUAAUGGAUAAAGAGGCACCGGCAAACUAGGU